UGGGGAAUAUUGCGCAAUGGGGGAAACCCUGACGCAGCGACGCCGCGUGAGCGAUGAAGGCCUUCGGGUCGUAAAGCUCUGUCAGGUGGGAAGAAACUUCCGUUGACUAAUAAUUGACGGAACUGACGGUACCACCAGAGGAAGCACCGGCUAACUCCGUGCCAGCAGCCGCGGUAACACGGAGGGUGCAAGCGUUGUUCGGAAUCACUGGGCGUAAAGGACGCGCAGGCGGUUCGGUAAGUCAGAAGUGAAAUCCGUCGGCUCAACCGACGAACUGCUUCUGAUACUGCCAGACUUGAGUACGGGAGAGGAAAGCGGAAUUCCCAGUGUAGAGGUGAAAUUCGUAGAUAUUGGGAAGAACACCGGUGGCGAAGGCGGCUUUCUGGACCGAUACUGACGCUGAGGCGUGAAAGCGUGGGGAGCAAACAGGAUUAGAUACCCUGGUAGUCCAUGCUGUAAACGAUGAUCACUCGAUGUGUGCGAUAGACAGUACGCGUCCAAGCGAAAGCGUUAAGUGAUCCACCUGGGGAGUACGUCGGCAACGAUG
rnacentral:rRNA from 1 species